AAUCGCGAGACUGGGGUGAUUUCAAGUGUCAAGUGGUUUUUAUUGUCGUUUCAACCAUACAGUUAGUACAGCACACAGUAAAACGAGACAACGUUCCUCCAGGACCAUGGUGCUACAUAAAAACAACAAAGGACCAACACAGGACCACAUGAGACAACACAACGAAAUAAAAUACCUAUAUAAAAAAACCUAUAUAUACCUAUUUACACUGAAAAUCACGCGUGCCGACCGUGGGCAUUCUCAUUCUGCUCAUCCUUGUGCCACUUGCUCUCCUGUACAGCAAGACCAGACCACAGACACUGCAUAAGUACUUAGAGCUCUGGGAAGACCCAGGAAAGGUGCACAGAAACAAUGUAGAAGAUGAGACAGAGGAGGACAGAGACAUCCCUGUGGUGAUCUGUGAUUCAGAGCGUAUUGGUGCUUCCAUGGCAACCAUCAACAGCAUCUACAGCAACACUUGUGCAAGCAUUUUCUUCUAUAUAGUUACCCUGCAAGAUGCCUUCCAAAAGAUAAGAUGCCUCCCUGACAUCACUGACUAAACUUUGACUCAAAAAUGUCGUGCUAUGGGCUGCCACCUUAUACUUGGUCAUCAUUUGUUCACUUGAUUAAACCCUUGUGUUGUGUUCAUUUUUAAAUGUAUAUUAUUACUGAUGGAAGAAUUCACUGAUCUGAGCUUAAACCAGCAGAGUGGGGGGGGCACUCCCUGCGGAAAAUAAAAUAAAUAAAUAAUAAUAAUUAAGUAAUAAGAUAAUAACCACUUUCUUGAUCUACUUGUUCUAAGCUGUUAAAGGCUAGAAUCUGGACUUUACAAUGCAUAUUGCUGAUCCUACCAAUUCUUAAUGCUUUUUUAACAACUGUUUUGUUCCCAUCAUUUGCAAAUUUAUUAUCACAAUCGAGAUUGUUUUAUAUAUUGUUGGAAAAGUCUCAAUUAGUAGAAUGCAAUGAACUAGUUUGUUUUACCCAAAUUGCAGUAUUAGUUUUAUGAAAUUCUAACUGACACACAUACAUAUUAUAAACAGGUGUCUUUUUAUCAAGUUUUUACUUAUUACAUCCCAUAGCAUACAUAUAACAUAGACAAUGAUGUAUCAUAACUUACAGUAGACUAUCCUGAUUCAAAUGAGCCCAAAUGCAACAUAAAUGAUCAGUAGAUCUUGAAAUAUUUCUUUAAGGGUGUACAUAUGGAAAGAGGAUCCACAAGAGGGCACUCAACACAUGAUGUUUGUAUGUAUUUGUUUUUUCAGGUAUCAUAUGUGAAAAUGUCCUGCUAUGGGCUGCCACCUUAUACUUGGUCAAAGUAAAAAAUAAAAACGACUGGAACACAACAUAAGGGUUAAUACCUGUCUUGUAAAUUAGCAAAUCAUGUAAAACAGAACUAUCAGUCUAAUGAUAUGCCCUUUGAAUGUGUAAAAGAUCAAUGAGAGCGUCUACUGACUUGCUCAGCCAAUCAAAACCAUCCCAAAUUCCUCAACAAACAUGAAUCUUUUCUUCCUCUGGGCUUGAGCAGGGAGUACGUAGAGAAUAACAAGCUGAGAAAAAUUAAUUUCAAGGUCAAAUCAUUUAUUCUGUGCACUAUCCAUAAAAGCCUUAAUUUGAUGCAGAAUUUGUGAUUCUAAUAACACUUAUACACAUAUUAAUACAGCUUUAUCUUUUAAGUUGAUAAUUGAAAAGGAAGGAUAAUAAAUGCAUGAUAUUGCUUCACCACUAGUCACUAUGGUAAUAAAUGUUUUUGUGUUACAUCUGACACACAGGAGAUAUAGAGAUACUGUACCCUGGGCAUGCUGCCACAUUUGCUUCAGACUGUUAUCUGUCCCCCACUUACGAGAUAGUGCUCAGUGUGCAUUUUUGUAUAUGUAAGAGUUGUUUUUAGAUGUGGUCCAAGUUCAUUGUUAUUUAUGUACUCUGAUUAAAAAAAAAUAUGAUGUUCUCACAGACAACCUAUAUGGGCUUCCUGGAUUACCGCAAAGAGGAAGUCAGAGAGCUGGGCAUCAACCCUAGUGAUUGCUCAUUUAAUCCAGCCACUUUUGUGGCAGAUAUUGAUGAAUGAAAAAGCAAAAAAUUACUAAACAAUUAGAGAAAUGAAUGGCUGAGAAUUUCAGGGGAGUCUAAUUAAAUAACCAGUGGUUCAUAGGUGUAAUGAGUCUUGUGAAUAACAUUAAAUCAAACCGGUUGUAUUACUUUAGCAGAUCAAAUUAGUGGUCAGUAGGUCUCAAAAAUGAUCACUUUUGUAAAAGUGAAAAAAAAAAAAACAUUCUCUUCCCUCCCUGUUGAAAUAUAGGGAAAACCUGUACAGCAGCGCUACGGCCAGGGGAGUGGCCACUACUCCAAUGCCAUUUAUCUUUCAUAAUAAAUACACCACCACUGAUCCGCUUUGGCACGUCAGACAUCUGGGUAACUAAAUGUCUCUCCUGCUAAAUAGGUCUAAAUCAAAUCUGACCAGAGGCAUCACUUUAGUCUUGCGUCACUCUGAAUCCUAUUACAAAUUAUUUUGCGUUAUGCUGGGUCAAAUGAUAUACUGCAUGUUCGUUGGUUUCCACUCCUACAAAAGACAUUUAUUUUCUAAAUUUAAAUGAAAUAAAAGUAUACUAAUUGCCUAAGAAUUGUAUUAACGCUAUAAAUUAAUUAACCCACUUGGGAACACUUUACAAUAGGGUGCAAUUUUUUUUUACAUUAGUCAACAACUUUAGUUAACAUGAAUCAACAAUCAACAG